UUAAGCGACUAAGCGUACACGGUGGAUGCCCUGGCAGUCAGAGGCGAUGAAGGACGUGCUAAUCUGCGAUAAGCGUCGGUGAGGUGAUAUGAACCGUUAUAACCGGCGAUUUCCGAAUGGGGAAACCCAGUGUGAUUCGUCACACUAUCAUUAACUGAAUCCAUAGGUUAAUGAGGCGAACCGGGGGAACUGAAACAUCUAAGUACCCCGAGGAAAAGAAAUCAACCGAGAUUCCCCCAGUAGCGGCGAGCGAACGGGGAGCAGCCCAGAGCCUGAAUCAGUGUGUGUGUUAGUGGAAGCGUCUGGAAAGGCGCGCGAUACAGGGUGACAGCCCCGUACACAAAAAUGCACAUGCUGUGAGCUCGAUGAGUAGGGCGGGACACGUGGUAUCCUGUCUGAAUAUGGGGGGACCAUCCUCCAAGGCUAAAUACUCCUGACUGACCGAUAGUGAACCAGUACCGUGAGGGAAAGGCGAAAAGAACCCCGGCGAGGGGAGUGAAAAAGAACCUGAAACCGUGUACGUACAAGCAGUGGGAGCACAGAGCAAUCUGUGUGACUGCGUACCUUUUGUAUAAUGGGUCAGCGACUUAUAUUCUGUAGCAAGGUUAACCGAAUAGGGGAGCCGAAGGGAAACCGAGUCUUAACUGGGCGUUAAGUUGCAGGGUAUAGACCCGAAACCCGGUGAUCUAGCCAUGGGCAGGUUGAAGGUUGGGUAACACUAACUGGAGGACCGAACCGACUAAUGUUGAAAAAUUAGCGGAUGACUUGUGGCUGGGGGUGAAAGGCCAAUCAAACCGGGAGAUAGCUGGUUCUCCCCGAAAGCUAUUUAGGUAGCGCCUCGUGAAUUCAUCUCCGGGGGUAGAGCACUGUUUCGGCAAGGGGGUCAUCCCGACUUACCAACCCGAUGCAAACUGCGAAUACCGGAGAAUGUUAUCACGGGAGACACACGGCGGGUGCUAACGUCCGUCGUGAAGAGGGAAACAACCCAGACCGCCAGCUAAGGUCCCAAAGUCAUGGUUAAGUGGGAAACGAUGUGGGAAGGCCCAGACAGCCAGGAUGUUGGCUUAGAAGCAGCCAUCAUUUAAAGAAAGCGUAAUAGCUCACUGGUCGAGUCGGCCUGCGCGGAAGAUGUAACGGGGCUAAACCAUGCACCGAAGCUGCGGCAGCGACGCUUAUGCGUUGUUGGGUAGGGGAGCGUUCUGUAAGCCUGCGAAGGUGUGCUGUGAGGCAUGCUGGAGGUAUCAGAAGUGCGAAUGCUGACAUAAGUAACGAUAAAGCGGGUGAAAAGCCCGCUCGCCGGAAGACCAAGGGUUCCUGUCCAACGUUAAUCGGGGCAGGGUGAGUCGACCCCUAAGGCGAGGCCGAAAGGCGUAGUCGAUGGGAAACAGGUUAAUAUUCCUGUACUUGGUGUUACUGCGAAGGGGGGACGGAGAAGGCUAUGUUGGCCGGGCGACGGUUGUCCCGGUUUAAGCGUGUAGGCUGGUUUUCCAGGCAAAUCCGGAAAAUCAAGGCUGAGGCGUGAUGACGAGGCACUACGGUGCUGAAGCAACAAAUGCCCUGCUUCCAGGAAAAGCCUCUAAGCAUCAGGUAACAUCAAAUCGUACCCCAAACCGACACAGGUGGUCAGGUAGAGAAUACCAAGGCGCUUGAGAGAACUCGGGUGAAGGAACUAGGCAAAAUGGUGCCGUAACUUCGGGAGAAGGCACGCUGAUAUGUAGGUGAGGUCCCUCGCGGAUGGAGCUGAAAUCAGUCGAAGAUACCAGCUGGCUGCAACUGUUUAUUAAAAACACAGCACUGUGCAAACACGAAAGUGGACGUAUACGGUGUGACGCCUGCCCGGUGCCGGAAGGUUAAUUGAUGGGGUUAGCGGUAACGCGAAGCUCUUGAUCGAAGCCCCGGUAAACGGCGGCCGUAACUAUAACGGUCCUAAGGUAGCGAAAUUCCUUGUCGGGUAAGUUCCGACCUGCACGAAUGGCGUAAUGAUGGCCAGGCUGUCUCCACCCGAGACUCAGUGAAAUUGAACUCGCUGUGAAGAUGCAGUGUACCCGCGGCAAGACGGAAAGACCCCGUGAACCUUUACUAUAGCUUGACACUGAACAUUGAGCCUUGAUGUGUAGGAUAGGUGGGAGGCUUAGAAGUGUGGACGCCAGUCUGCAUGGAGCCGACCUUGAAAUACCACCCUUUAAUGUUUGAUGUUCUAACGUUGGCCCCUGAUCGGGGUUGCGGACAGUGUCUGGUGGGUAGUUUGACUGGGGCGGUCUCCUCCUAAAGAGUAACGGAGGAGCACGAAGGUUGGCUAAUCCUGGUCGGACAUCAGGAGGUUAGUGCAAUGGCAUAAGCCAGCUUGACUGCGAGCGUGACGGCGCGAGCAGGUGCGAAAGCAGGUCAUAGUGAUCCGGUGGUUCUGAAUGGAAGGGCCAUCGCUCAACGGAUAAAAGGUACUCCGGGGAUAACAGGCUGAUACCGCCCAAGAGUUCAUAUCGACGGCGGUGUUUGGCACCUCGAUGUCGGCUCAUCACAUCCUGGGGCUGAAGUAGGUCCCAAGGGUAUGGCUGUUCGCCAUUUAAAGUGGUACGCGAGCUGGGUUUAGAACGUCGUGAGACAGUUCGGUCCCUAUCUGCCGUGGGCGCUGGAGAACUGAGGGGGGCUGCUCCUAGUACGAGAGGACCGGAGUGGACGCAUCACUGGUGUUCGGGUUGUCAUGCCAAUGGCACUGCCCGGUAGCUAAAUGCGGAAGAGAUAAGUGCUGAAAGCAUCUAAGCACGAAACUUGCCCCGAGAUGAGUUCUCCCUGACUCCUUGAGAGUCCUGAAGGAACGUUGAAGACGACGACGUUGAUAGGCCGGGUGUGUAAGCGCAGCGAUGCGUUGAGCUAACCGGUACUAAUGAACCGUGAGGCUUAACCUU
rnacentral:rRNA from 1 species